AUCCACAGCUAUAUCACCAUGCAGCCCAAUACCGGUUACUCACUGAAGCUAAGCAGGGCUGAGCUUGGUCAGUACCUGUAUAGGAGCCCACAUUGGAAAAGUAGGUGGCUGUUGGAA
rfam:Danio rerio chromosome 22, GRCz11 reference primary assembly.